GUAAAGGCUACGUGACAUGGAGAACUACAGAAAAGCCCGUACAGUCGAGCAGCCCUCCCUGUGUCCGUUCCCCAACCUGCCCAGCGACACUCCAGAAGUUCGAGUGAAGGAUGGCAGCAAAAUCCGAAACCUCAUGAGGUUCGCUUUAAGCCACAUGGAGGAGAAAACAGCCUCCGCAGAUCAUCCAGGCCCUCAUGAAGGCUCAGAGCUUAGUGCACAGCAGCUGAAUCCAACUUCACACAAGGUGGAGCUGUAUAUGCAAAAUACGCAGUCAUGUUGGCUGUUCUUUUGACCAUUUUGAUGUUUAGUCAAGGGCUUUCAAUGGACAAUUGUGGGACAAGUUUCAUCACUGCAUUCCCAGAAAAUAUAGCAUUUUAUUAUCAAAAGACCUUUAACCUACUCAAAAUCACUACCCUUCACCCAGACACUACGAUCAAUGUCACCUAUAUGGCCAGCGACAAUGUCACCACAAAUGCAAGCCUCGCAAUUGGAACCGUUUGGACUUUGAAUUUGACGAAGGAGGUUGAAGAAUCCCAGUUUGAGUCUUCCAAUAAGACAUUUCGAAUCACCAGUGAUAAAAACAUCACAGUGGUUUCUGUGAGUGGACGGGAGGGGAGAUUCCAGUCUCACGUUGUCCAGCCUGAACAAAACCUGGGAAAGGUGUAUCAUGUUCCCUCUCUGAAUUACACCAAGAUAGCUGCGUCCUUUAACCUUACGAUUACAUCAGAUGUCAGAUUCCUCCCUUUUAGGCUGAUGAUUAUCAAUGCAGUGGAUGAGAACAACCAGGUCACCAUCAAACGGGUAGAUGAAAGAGGUCAGAGCCAAGAAGAUACAAUAAGGCUCGAUCCUUACAAUCUUUACCAGAUUCAGAUUAAUGAGAUGGUGAGAGAAAUCAACGCAGAUUACGAAGUAGCUGUGAUUCUGACCCAUCCAUGUUUUGACAGCAAAAACUGCUCAUGCAACAUGAUUCUGAACCAGCUCCAACCGUUUGUGUUAGAUGAAAAUGAAGACAGAUUCCUUAUGCCACCUUACCUCAGGCCCGAACAGCUACUUGUGACAACAAAUAAACCCUUCAGGGUCUGUCAGGGUUAUUUAACUACUUGUACUGGUGUUUGGGUGAAAAAUUCUUCAGACAUUCUGCCAUUAUUACCAAAUAUUGCGAACAGGAUCUUGCAUAUUUCUACUUCCAUGCAUGUUUCCCUCCGAUUUGUCAGUCCUGGGCUCAUUCUAGACCUCAUUCCAAUAAGCAUGUUCUCUGGGUGCUAUCUGGUAGAUUUGAAUUCCUCAAGCAGUGUGGUCUUGGUGAUUGCUAACACAUCCAGCACUAAUGGUGUGCGAAUGAACGAUAAGCCUUUGCCUUUGAACAUCAACUGGAACGUUUUGUCUGGCACAGAGUACUCUUGGGCUCUAGUGGCGGGACAAAGGAUAACCACAAUCUGGCAUACUUCUGAAAGGAUUGGUGUAUAUAUGUUCGAACGCUUGGAGUCUAACAGUACCUAUGGGAGUGCAGCAACAGUUAUAAGUAUGGACCCAGGUUAG
ensembl:lncRNA